GAGCAGGGUUUGUCAUUACCAAUGCGCGAGAAGACCCCGCACGAGAAAGCCCCUGUGCACGAGAGCGCCCCAACCAAAUAUGGAAGUUUUCGCUGCAGCGAAUUGCUUAUCAGCGGUUGGUACGUAAAAAGGAAUAGAAAUUCUCUGAGUAAUCAGACGAGCCUGUUGAACAAAGUCUACGAAGAUACGAGAGGAAAGUCUACGAAGAUACCAGUUUUAUAAAUACCUGGUAAGUUAUCGGUCUGUUUAUUUUACAUUUGAGACUAGUUGUUCAACGU